CUUAUGAGCUGGGACUCCAUCGUUUGAAAUGAUGACCAAGAAGAAGCCUGGCCUGUGCUGCUUGUUCCUGAGGCGGCUGAGCUCUCAUCUGAACUCCAGUC